rnacentral:rRNA from 1 species
CUGCUACCGGACGACGUGCUCGCCAACGUCCUCCGCCGUCUCGCGCCGCGCUGGCUUGUCGCGGCGCGGUGCGUCCGCAAGGCCUGGCGCCGCACCAUCGACGAGCGCCGUCUUCUCCGCGCGGACAAGCUCCCGCUCUCGCUCGCCGCCGGCAUCUUCAUCCAGUUUGACUAUCACGUGUUCCCCGAGUUCUUCGCCCGUCCCUCUUCCUCGGCUCAUGCGGCGGUCAACGCCAAGCUCGACUUCUUGCCUCGCCCCAGCUAUCCCUUUGGUGAGGUAGGCGACUUACUCUUCCAAGACUAUUUCGUUCAAGACCACUGCAAUGGGCUCCUCUUGACCUACCGGUACGUGGUUAACCCUGCCACACGAUGCUGGGAUCGUUUUACUCCACACCCGUACAGGACCCAUCCAAUGGGGGUCACCAAUUUAUCGAGGGAUUAUCUACCUUCGAUCGCGCCGUGUCGCCCCACUACUAGGUGUUAA